GACGAACGCUGGCGGCGUGCCUAAUACAUGCAAGUCGAACGCAGUGGGGACGGGUGAGUAACACGUGGGUAACCUCCCAUCAGAGGGGAUAACACUUUGCCACAGGUGCUAAACCGAUACUGCUGGAUGGACCCGCGGUGCAUUAGCUAGGUGGUGAGGUAAAGGCUCACCAAGGCCACGAUGCAUAGCCGGUCUGAGAGGGGGAUCAGUCACACUGGGACUGAGACACGGGCCAGACUCCUACGGGAGGCAGCAGUAGGGAAUAUUGGGCAAUGGACGAAAGCCUGACCCAGCAAUGCCGCGUGAGUGAAGAAGGUUUUCGGAUCGUAAAACUCUUUUGGUAGAGAAGCGGUACCUAAACAAAAAGCCACGGCUAACUACGUGCCAGCAGCCGCGGUAAUUC
rnacentral:rRNA from 1 species